GACGAAGGAUGCAAGCGUUAUCCGGAUUCAUUGGGUUUAAAGGGAGCGUAGGUGGUCUUAUAAGUCAGUGGUGAAAUCUCGCAGCUUAACUGCGAAACUGCCAUUGAUACUGUAGGACUUGAGUAUAGUUGCUGUGGGCGGAAUAUGACAUGUAGUGGUGAAAUACUUAGAGAUGUCAUAGAACACCGAUUGCGAAGGCAGCUCACAAAACUAUAACUGACACUGAGGCUCGAAAGUGCGGGGAUCAAACAGGAUUAGAUACCCUGGUAGUCCGCACUGUAAACGAUGAUUACUCGCUGCUAGAGGGCAACCUUUAGUGGCUUAGCGAAAGCGAUAAGUAAUCCACCUGGGGAGUACGCCGGCAACGGUGAA
rnacentral:rRNA from 1 species